UGGGGAGGGGCAGAGGGAGAGGGAGAAGCAGGCUGCCUGCUGAGCAGGGAGCCUGAUGCAGGGCUUGAUCCUAGGAUCCUGAGAUCAUGACCUGAGCCAAAGUCAAAUACUUUUUGUUCUUCGGCAGCUGCCCAGAGGAUUCUCCCUCUGCUAAGGCAGUAGGGGAUGAGACAGUGAGGGGGCCAUUGAGUCAUCGAGAAGCCGUUGGUGGCUGACCCCUGUGGGCCAGAGUUGACAGAAGGAGAUGCAGCCAUGGAAUGAGGUUUCCUAGUGUCAUUGGAAAUGGAAAAAAAGAGAAGCCUGAAUUUUCCCUGGAACCGUUAAAGAAAUCUGAUUAGUCUUACAAAUCUCCCCACGCUGGCUUCCUCCACGGGCUCCACCAAACUGGCAUCAUCUCAACCAUAAAAGAACAAACUUUUCCAGAGAACAGGAGGAGAACACGUUCCUUAGCACACGCCAGUAUAGCUGAGAGCAAACUGUGUCCCAAAGAAAGCCACAGGCCAUUCUCACCAGGACAACGGAAGCAAUUAAAUUAGCUAGUAAUAAAAAGAUAACUGCAAAAAAAACACAAAAAACCAAACCCUGCAAAUUAUUAGCAAAUCAAUUUCAGCAGCAUAUUAAAAGGACGGUGUAUCAUGAUCAAGUUGCAUCUAUCCCAGGAAUACAGAGAUGAAUUAGUGCUAGAGAAUCUAUAAAUAAGCCAUGUAAACAGAUUAAAUGAGGAAAAACCAUAUAAUAGAUGCCAAAAAAGUAUUUGAUAUUCCACCUGAAAAAAAUUCUU